AGUCGACGAGCGAGAGAGAGCUUGCUUUCUCGAGCGAGUGGCGAACGGGUGAGUAACGCGUGAGGAACCUGCCUCAAAGAGGGGGACAACAGUUGGAAACGACUGCUAAUACCGCAUAAGCCCACGGUGCCGCAUGGCACAGAGGGAAAAGGAGCAAUCCGCUUUGAGAUGGCCUCGCGUCCGAUUAGCUAGUUGGUGAGGUAAUGGCCCACCAAGGCGACGAUCGGUAGCCGGACUGAGAGGUUGAACGGCCACAUUGGGACUGAGACACGGCCCAGACUCCUACGGGAGGCAGCAGUGGGGAAUAUUGCACAAUGGGGGAAACCCUGAUGCAGCGACGCCGCGUGGAGGAAGAAGGUCUUCGGAUUGUAAACUCCUGUUGUUGGGGAAGAUAAUGACGGUACCCAACAAGGAAGUGACGGCUAACUACGUGCCAGCAGCCGCGGUAAAACGUAGGUCACAAGCGUUGUCCGGAAUUACUGGGUGUAAAGGGAGCGCAGGCGGGAAGACAAGUUGGAAGUGAAAUCUAUGGGCUCAACCCAUAAACUGCUUUCAAAACUGUUUUUCUUGAGUAGUGCAGAGGUAGGCGGAAUUCCCGGUGUAGCGGUGGAAUGCGUAGAUAUCGGGAGGAACACCAGUGGCGAAGGCGGCCUACUGGGCACCAACUGACGCUGAGGCUCGAAAGUGUGGGUAGCAAACAGGAUUAGAUACCCUGGUAGUCCACACC
rnacentral:rRNA from 1 species